UAUGCAUUUUUCUUUCAGCCGUCAGAUCCUCUCCGCUGGAAAGAAUAUCGUUGAAGUACAGCUUGAGACAAGCGGUAUGGACCAGAAGAGAAACCAUAGAUCCUGAUGGUUGUCAGAACAAGAGCUUGGGAUGCAGUGAUAUAUCCCGCAGAAGGCCCAGAAGACGAGCUGCCUUCCAGCCAGGAUCGCUUGCCGUUGCUGAUGCAGCCUGCUUUGGGAGCAGCUAUCUGGUGACCUCCAUGGAUGGCAGCCUACAGCGAAAACCUGGGUGGACCUGCAGCGAUACGGCACCACGAAGGGAUUGGAAAUGACACUGUGCAGCCUCCAGGAAAAACUUACGCGGACUUCUAGAUGCAGGAGGCUGGCACUUUGGAUUGCAGCAUUACUGAAAUGAAAAGCGUGAACGCUACAGGAAUUUCUGCUGCAUGGAAAAAUGUUAUUUUUGGAUUCUUCAGGAAGGCGUGCCCAUAAAACCACUGGUUCCCUGGUGAAGGAAGGUUAAUCGCCCUGUCCCGCGCAGCUGGAGGCUGGCUGACUUCUGCAGAGCUGCAAAGCAGGCGGUAGGCGCGAGGUGCCGUUCGGCGGCUCGGCGAGAGCAGCGCGCUCCAGCGCGGUCACCAUGCAACGUCGCUUCCACGCAAAACUAUGCGCCUAAGGCGGAAACUAGAAGGUGCUGUUUGAGAAGUCUGUGCAUUUGGAGGCUUGGAUGUUAAAAGCAAGCAGAAACGUAAGAUGGCAUGUUUCAUCUUUGACCAGGGAAUUUACUCGGGG